UUUUGUACUUACACUUUUUGGUUAUCUUUUUUAGCUACUUGGGUUUGUUUUUUCAUCGAUUUUGGCUUUUCCUGCAGAUCCCAUUUUCUUGUAUAUAUUGUAUUGGUUUUGUCUCUGACAAAUGAGAAAGUUUGUGCAAUAUUUACCUCUUCUAAACUCCUAAAGUUUGUGCAAUAUUUACCUCUUCUAAACUCCUAUAAAAUGUUACUCUGAUUUGGGUAUAGUUUGGAGGACCGAUCCUCCCUAUUUAUAGCUGCU
rnacentral:lncRNA from 1 species